UGACUAUACAAAGGUAUUGUAAUAAGACUUUAAUUGAGUGCUAAAAGAAUGGAUUAACGGAAAAAUUCUUUUUUAAUUUCAAAAAUUGAAGUUAUUUUUGUCAGUGAAGAAACUACAAUAAAAAUUAAGGACAAGAAGACCCUAAGAAUUUUUAAUAAUUUUAAAAAAGUUUUUUUUAAAUUAUUUUAAUUGGGGCGAUUAACAAAAAUAAGAAACUUUAUUUUUCCAAAAAAAUGAACCAUUAAUAAUGGUCAUAUGAAAAAAAUACUCUAGGGAUAACAGCGUAAUAAUUUUAGAUAGUUCUUAUAGACAAAAUAGUUUGCGACCUCGAUGUUGGAUUAGGAUUCUUAUUUAAUGAAGAAGUUAAAAAAAGAAGUUUGUUCAACUUUUAAAGUCCUACUUGAUCUGA
rnacentral:rRNA from 1 species